UACGUAGGGGGCAAGCGUUGUCCGGAUUUAUUGGGCGUAAAGAGCGUGUAGGCGGCUAUACAGGUCCGCUGUGAAAACUCGAGGCUCAACCUCGAGACGUCGGUGGAAACCGUAUGGCUAGAGUCCGGAAGAGGAGAGUGGAAUUCCUGGUGUAGCGGUGAAAUGCGCAGAUAUCAGGAAGAACACCCGUGGCGAAAGCGGCUCUCUGGAACGGUACUGACGCUGAGACGCGAAAGCGUGGGGAGCGAACAGG
rnacentral:rRNA from 1 species